rnacentral:snoRNA from 1 species
AGUGAACGGAGUGCACGGUGUCGGUCCGUGUCAUGUGCCGUUGCCGGGCUGCGUUUUGCAGGCCGGGCAGCAGCGCUCACUCCACACCCGCAGCCACAGAACAGCCGGGGAUCAUAGUACUGGCCUUCGGCGUAACCCCGUCGGCCGGCCUCCGAACUCUCCCGACAAAC